rnacentral:lncRNA from 1 species
GUGGGCGAACAUUAUUUUUGGCCAUAGGCUGCUGCAUAAUCAGGCUGUUGCUGAUCAUGUACUAAGAUGCUGGUUUUGGUUGCUGUCAUACCAACUCCUUGAGUCUAUAAGCUGCUGUCACAUACCAGAAAUUGGUUCCUGUCACACUUCUCAUCAAGAUGCUGGUUGAUAUCACAUGUAUAGGGCUAUAUUAACCAUUGUGUUCCCUUUUGGUUAUGGACAAUUUUAUUCGUCAAAUACUUGGUUUAUUUCCCUUAGGAGGUCAUAGAUCUACAGUACACGUGUAUCAUGGUGAUAAACCUAUAGUACAUGUGUAUCGUAGGAGACAGAAGAAUGGGAAAGAAAAGACUGGUAAUGGGCCUAUGGAGCAAGAAAGGGACGGAGUUAAAGAUACAAAGCUUAUGGAGAAGUUGGCUACUUUUAUGAAGGAGGCAGAAGUUGGGAAUAGAAGAACAACUGCUGGGACAGAUGGCAGCAGCAGAAUAGAGGGAGUUCGAAAGAGUGGGGAAAAGCCAUAUAUGGAAGAUAACAGAUAACAGAAUAGGGGGUAUCAAAUGGUGUAAGUGGGAAUUGUGGGUACUGGGAAUAGGAUUUACCUAACUCGGUAAUAGGGUGUGCUCUUUGUUAUAGUUUCCAUUAUCAUCUCUUCAAGGAGGUUCUCUCCAUUCAUCUUUAUAUUUCAGUAAUUAUAACCAUUAAUACAAAGGUCAUAUUCUCUGGUGUAAUCCCUUUUCAUAAUUUCCCUAUUUGUGUUCAGUUCUAUUAGGAGAGUUGGACAAAAUACAUCAACACUUUUGCUUAUAAAUAGAAAAUGAGGGAGUACUAAUAUAGUGAUUAGGCUUAUUAAAUAAAUUAACAGAUUCCAUUUCUAUUGAUCGGGAUACAUGGGUUGCAUAGUGUUCUGGAUUUGGUCUCAGCUCAACUGCGUUCAGAUAGGCUGAUAGCAAGGGUGGGUAGCCCAAUUCCCAAAUUUCUAGUAAGAAGUUUUCAAUAGCCAAGCACAUACAGAUUGAGAGAGGCAUGACGGACAACUGAAUAACUGUCUGGAAGUUCCCAAGUAACUCCAUAAUAACUGAUGAUGCUGUUAGAUACUCGACCAUAUCACUAUAUAAAUAAAAUAACAUCUUGAGUCGAGGUGCAAAUUCAUUCUCAGUCAUCCUUAUCACUCCUAUAUGCUUACUAACAUGAUCAUCGGAAUCUCUGCAGGUGGCCACCAAUGUCAUUUUCUGCUGUCACGAUCCAUCAUCUCUACUCAUCCUCUUGCAGUUCAAUUGAUCUAAUCCUUAAGCACACUGAGAUUCCCUCUUUCUUGCAUACCCUUUGAGAUUAUACUGAAGGCGUACUAUAUGCAGAACAUACUCUGAAUAAACUUGGUCUAAACAAGUGAGAGGGAGGGAAGAAGAAUUAAAUUCCCCCCCACUCACCUACCCAAAAAAAGCACAAGUAUCUUCCAAGUUACAAUUACUAAUUAGCACAUUACACAAUUCACAAGCCUGAUUUGUUAGUUUCUGCCAAGUUACAUUUACUUUUCAUCAGCAAUAUAUUCUAAUGCACCACAAGUAUCCACAUUUUAAAGCAUUAAAAUCUAUCUACCAACAAUUCAUAUUGAAAGUGUGGCUAGAGUUCAACACUGACACUCGUGAUUACAUUCAAUCACUUUCAUUUUUUAUGUCAUUACCGGUGUCUACAUAUCAAUCUCACUGUUUACACGUGAUUACGUCCUAUGUUUGUGUAUGUGCUUCGUAGAUUACUAUCACAAAUGACCUACUGCUUAUUGUUAUAUUCACAGCAAAACAAAACUUGUUACACUUGCACGCCACCAAAUAACUUAUUUUAAGAAAUGUAUUUUGAUUAAUUCAACGAUUACUAAGACGAGAAAUAUGAUUAUGAAGAAUAAAAA